GCAGUUUAUUGUGAAAUCAGACGGCUUGAUCACUGGACUGGAAAAGGCCAAUGGGACCGUCCUCACAAACGAAAAUGAAAAUCUCAGAAAGGCUGCCGAAGAACAUGCCCUGUGUUCUUCCAAGUGUGAGGAGCUGGCCAACGAGCUCUGCACUCUGAGAAGUGACCUAGAGAAGGCCAAAAAGACCGUCCAGGAGAAGGACAGUAAGAUCAGCCAACUGUCAGAGGACAGGUCCUCCUUACAAGAUCAGCUGAAACGUGAGCAGGAAUCAAGAGAAAGCACUGAGAAACACCUUGAUGAGCUCGAGAAACGUAACAGUGAAAUUCAAUCAGAGCUGGUUAGUAAGGAGAAUGUCAUCACUGACCUGUUUGCUGAAAACAAUCAUGUCUGCAACGAACUGGCCAAGAGCAAGGCCAAGUUCAGACAGUUGGAGGAGGGAGAGCUGGAAUUUGAGCAAACGCAGAAAAGUUUACAGCAGUCUCUGACUCUUCAGCAAAAAGAGGCUCUAGAGUUAAGGGUAAAGUGUGACCAGCUCAGAAAAGAAAAUGAAAACCUCAGAAAGGCUGCCGAAGAACAUGCCCAGUGUUCUUCCAAGUGUGAGGAGCUGGCCAACGAGGUCUGCACUCUGAGGAGUGACCUAGAGAAGGCCAACAAGACCGUCCAGGAGAAGGACAGUAAGAUCAGCCAACUGUCAGAGGACAGGUCCUCCUUACAAGAUCAGCUGAAAUGUGAGCAGGAAGCAAAAGAACCAGAGGAGCUCAAGCAACAUGGCAGCGACCUGAUUGCUGAGAGCAAGGAUCCCUGCAACCAGCUGUCCAAGAGCAGGGACAAGUACAGACCGUUGGACCCCGAACAGCUGGUAGACAUCUUUCUGCCAAAAUGGGUAAAAUUACAGGAACCUCCAAAAAGAGAACGUGUUGCAGAGACACCAGAUAAGAGAUUGGACUGGCUGUUCCGCAUACACGAGCAGGGCACCCUAGACCCGGACAACCUAAGCGACCAGGAAUACGCAGACUACCAGCACGGCUGGGACUACAACGAGAGCGUAGACCACCAGGACCAAUACAGCCUGGGCAACCCGAAGAUUGGGGAUAAUUGUGGAAAGGAGACAGGCGAAAGACAGACAGGACGAAAGAAGAAAAAGAAGACACACAGAAGAUACUGAAGUAAACCUAAGUCUCUGAAUUUAACCUGUUUUUUUUUUCAACAACCAC
rnacentral:lncRNA from 1 species